rnacentral:rRNA from 1 species
GAUGAACGCUGGCGGCGUGCCUAAUACAUGCAAGUCGAGCGAAUGGAUUAAGAGCUUGCUCUUAUGAAGUUAGCGGCGGACGGGUGAGUAACACGUGGGUAACCUGCCCAUAAGACUGGGAUAACUCCGGGAAACCGGGGCUAAUACCGGAUAACAUUUUGAACCGCAUGGUUCGAAAUUGAAAGGCGGCUUCGGCUGUCACUUAUGGAUGGACCCGGGUCGCAUUAGCUAGUUGGUGAGGUAACGGCUCACCAAAGCAACGAUGCGUAGCCGACCUGAGAGGGUGAUCGGCCACACUGGGACUGAGACACGGCCCAGACUCCUACGGGAGGCAGCAGUAGGGAAUCUUCCGCAAUGGACGAAAGUCUGACGGAGCAACGCCGCGUGAGUGACGAAGGCUUUCGGGUCGUAAAACUCUGUUGUUAGGGAAGAACAAGUGCUAGUUGAAUAAGCUGGCACCUUGACGGUACCUAACCAGAAAGCCACGGCUAACUACGUGCCAGCCGCCGCAGUAA